GAAUACCUACAAGGUGUAUGUGGGCCCCACAAAGUCAAGAGAAAAUAUUAUUACGAGAAAAUUGUUUCUUGUUCUUCUACCUUUGAGUUAAGAUUUUUGAGAAAAACUUCAAUACAAUAAUUUUUCGUUCAAUUUGUUCGUGGGUUUCAUUGAUCAAAGAGUUGAUAGCAAAGAUCAGUCUCGGUGUGGAUACGCAUAGAUUCUUCGUACUAUCGAAGAAUUUUUAAAACAAGACUUUCUUCACCAGGUACGUUUUAGAUUCGAUCUUUGACAUGUAAAUAAAUUUUAAAUACGAAAAGAUCUGCCUAGGAUUGUUAUUGUUUUCCGCUGCAUGUUAUGAACAUCUAUAUACGAUCACACAGUGGUAUCAAAGCACAAUAAAUAACUUGUCAAUUACUAUGAUGAUCUCAGGUCAAAAGAAACUCUUACAUCACGUUCUUUAAGAGAAUAUCCCAUUGACAGUUUAUGGUAAUCUAACCAUUAGGAAUUAUCCAAUGAGUCGGUUCAAUGAUCAUAUCUCUAUUUGCAUCAUCUAUCUAUGUGAUUUAGUUAAUAAGAUCAACUCAAGAACAAAAUUUAGAUUAAAUUAUAAGAAACUUUACUCUCAUUAUCAUAAUCUCCAUCACGAUGACAAGUCUCAAAAUUUAAUCAAGGACCUUAUCAAAUUAAUCAAGCAAUUAAUAAUAAUGAUAAAAGAAUAUCAAAUGCCAUAUAUAUUUUAUCUGAAAUAACAUUCACAAAAAUAUGUUUAAAUCAUCAAAUAUAAGAUUGGAUCUACGGCAUAUCUGAUAUAUCCCUAACAACAUUCCCUUUCCAAGUCAGGCAAAAAAGAUCGUAAGACCUAUAUAACGCUUUAGUUUUUUUUUUUGUUUCCAGAGCUCCCAACCCUUUUAAUUCUACUUAAUAUUUUUUUUUGAUUUGCACCGGUGUCCGAGUCUCUAAGAGCCCCGACUAAUCCCGGGGGUGCACAGGCCCUCGACAAGGAGUUUCCCGCAAGUGCACCACGGUUAAUUCAGGUUUUACCCAGUCCGAUGGUCCUCAGAAAUUGUUUGCACCCAGUGGGUUUCGAACUUGAUACCUUGAAAGGGAGCAAACCCCAAGGCUCAAGUCAAUUGGCACCAGGCCAACCCCUGAGGGUUUAAUUCUACUUAAUAUCAGGUACAACAUUGUAACAAAAAGGAUAAUUUCCGAUGGUUAAAGUGUGUGUACUACUGCAUUACUUUCAAAGAAAGCCGCUUGAAUUCUGUAAUUAAUGAACGAAUCGUGGUAAUUGUGCCUAAACCAACGAAUUAAUAUUUUCUUAACUUUAUUUAGGGAAGACGAGUUAUCUGGAGUAGUUAACUCCAAGCUCUCUCUAAAAUAACCCGAUGGUAAGAUCUGAAUAAACUAAAUUAACAUUUCAUAGAUUUAACAUAAAUUGAAAUAACAAAGGCAUGAAAACCAUAGCUCCAGUGACUUACUAGUUAUGGAGGCGCUUCACAGUGGAGCGGGGCUACACAAACCUAAACAAGCAAUAGCAAUUCAGUUAAAUUAAGAAGAACGAACACAGCAUAAAUCAGUAAAGUAAUUGCUAAAUAAUCACCAUUAGAGCUUCAUCCGAUAGUUCAAUUUCCAAGUGAAAGAUGAAAUUAUUAGUUGCAGUCACCAUAGAAAAUGAAUUGACAAAAUUGAACUCUAUAAUUUUAGUGUCCAGCUGAAAUUUCCAUGGAAAUGAAAUUCUUCGACAGUCUACGGUGUUGAUUUGCACCAUUUUUGAAUAACGAAACAGAAAUCGAAAAGGAGGGAAUAGAUAUGAAGAGAAAGUAGACGAGAAAUAAGAAAGAAAAAAACUCACAUGGAGAAGUGAAGAGACGAAUUAUCAACGGAGGAGAUAACGGUUUUGACGACAGUUGCAGAGAAGAGGGAUCUGCUUGAUUUAUCGCGAUAUUUUGUGGUCUAAUUGUCUGUAAUAGUCUAGGGUUUAGUUCGUAUCGAUUUCUUGGACUAACAGAGUUUUCAUUUUCUUUUAAUUUAUCUUCACCUUCUCGUUCUAUUAUCUCACCUAUUUGUAUUUUCAUAAGUAUUUUUUUUUUCUGGGAAAAAAAAUUAUGUAGUAUCUCCUUUUCUUUUCUCGUAUUUUCGGAUCCCGUACACGCCCGUACAGUGCAAUUUUCGGCCAGAGCGAACUGACGUCGUAUAUAACAGAGGAAUUCACGGAAAAAAAAUUGCAAUGCUGGAAGUCAACUCAUAUCAGAGCCAGGUUUCGAUCCUGGGACCUGUGGGUUAUGGGCCCACCACGCUUCCGCUGCGCCACUCUGAUUUGUUGAUAAUAAGUUACAAUUGUUUUAUAUUAUUCUAUGAAGCUCAAAGAUGGAGUACUAACUAAAACAAUCUCAGUUCAGCCUACUCUUUUUCCUUUUUGUUUUCUCCUGUAAAGUAACAAAAAGUUUUCUUCUCUUUAUUUUCAGACAAUGAGAGGAUUAGCUGCAGAAGUAGAUUAUGGAAAAUGGCUGCAGAUCUACGACUAAAUCGAUGAAAAAUUAUACUUGGGGUGUACAGUAAAAUUGCACCAAACCGAAAAGUCAAACUAAAUCGAUUAAAAACCCUACUAGAUUUGGUUUGAUAUUAGUAAACAAACUGAACCAAACCAACAUAUAAAUAUAUAAUUUUAAUAUAUACUUCUAAGAUUUUAUAUAGAAUUUUUUUAAAAAAAAAUAUCCAGAACUAUUUGGGAUUCUCUUACGGGAUAUAAUAUUUAAUAAAUAUGAAGGGCUCC
rnacentral:lncRNA from 1 species